AGAGCUGCAGCUCAGAGGUAGAGCAUCUGCUUUGCAUGCAGAAGGUCGCAGGUUCAAUCCCUGGCAUUUCCA